rnacentral:Y_RNA from 1 species
GGCUGAUCCAAAGGUAGGGAGUUAUCUGUAUCAAUUGUUCAGUCAGUUGCAAAUUGAACUCUUGUUCAAAUCUUCCCCCUUCUCACUAUUGCACUUGAAUAUUCUUUA